CUCAUUCACUCUCUUUCUCUCUAUAUCGAUCUCUCUCUCUCUCUGCAUUUUGUCCAUACUCUGUCAAUUAUGAUCUUUCUCUUUUUUUAGGGUUUCUCUCUCGUUCUUUUAUCUCCGAAUUGAGCUUCGCUUUUCUCUUCUUCGAGUCACUUUGAAUUCUAAUCUCUCUCUCUCUCUCUCUCUCUCUCUCUCUCUUUGUGAUUUGAUUUUUAUUUAUUUUUAGUUUCAGGUGGAUUCCACUGAAGAUUUCGAGCCAUUGUUCGAUUACUCUAGAGUUCAGCCUCUCAAUUUCGUGUCCCUCGACGAUGAUGAUGAUGAUGAUGAUACUGCAUCCCCAACUUUGUCUCCUAAAUGGAGGAGGAUUGCCAAACCUAUUUGAUGAUACUGGCACUUGGUUUAGAUGCACCUUUGAACAACUCAAUGUGAAUGAUUAUCAAUUUCAGAGUUAGGGGUGGAGGAUCACCUACGAAGUCUACUCCCAACAUGUUCUGCAAAACACUUACUGCUUCUGAUACCAGCACUCAUGGAGGCUUCUCUGUUCCUCGUAGAGCUGCUGAAGACUGUUUCCCUCCCUUGUUGUGACUUUAAAGAUAUUAUAUUCUCUCCUUUUCUAAAUAGAUAAUUUAACUGAGUCACUCUGAUUAAAUUGAUUUUUAAAAUUAUUGGAUUUCCUUUA